AUGUUCAAGAUAGCCAUGCACGUCUAAGUACAAACUAAAUGAUGGUGAAACUGCAAAUGGCUCAUUACAACGGUUAUGAUGUACCCGGGAGUUCCGAUGGAUAUUUCCAGUAACACUAGAACUAAUACAUGUCCCUGCGUUUAUUAGUUUCGCACAGUCCGUCGCUGAGUCAUGGUAAACAGUUGAUCGACUCGACGUCCCGGAACAGUUUCCGCCCCAUCAGCUUCGAUGGUUGGGUAUUGGCCUACCAUUGCAACAACGGGUAACGAGGAAUUAGGGUUUGAUUUCGGAGAGGGAGCCUGAGAAACGGCUACCACAUCUACGGAUGGCAGCAGGCGCGCAAAUUACCCAAUGCAGACACUGUGAGGUAGUGACGAGAAAUAAUAAAGCGGGACUUCUGUUUCGCUAUUAUAAUGAGGAAUAACCAAAGGUCAUUCCGAUUAGCAACUGAUGGGAAAGUCUGGUGCCAGCAGCCGCGGUAAUACCAGCGUCAGUAGCAU
rnacentral:rRNA from 1 species